GAGGAGAAACACGGGAUUGCGGACGCCAGGAAGCUACCUCGUGAACUCUGAAUUCCUGAAGCUGGAAGGAUCAGCACUCGGGAGCAGAGCCAGCUACGCCUGAAUCUGCACAAUGUGGGAAGGGAGUAAACUGAGUGCUCCAACUCAGUGAGUACCAAAUGUAAAUAACGACUAAAAGAUGUGAGUACGUAAUUUUUUCCCUAUGUGAAAUACUCCUACAAAUUAAAGAAAUUAAAUUUUCCCCAAUUGUUUGCAAUUUAUAGGAUUUUGUAGGAUUUUUGCCAAUUGUAUGCAUUUCUUUGCGUGUUUACUUUUAUUAAAAUCAUGAAAAAAUACAAAAAUAACAUGACUUUCAUUUAGUUUUAUGUUUACAUUUUAGGAUUAAUUAAUUAAUUGCUUUAUUAAAAAUAAAAAUUACAAAAAUGGCUCAUUUUAACAUUCUUAGCUUCUAAUUUGGACUUAUUAAGUUUUCUCUUUAAAUUUAGGAUCAACUAAUGUUUAUAAACAUUAUAGUUACAUAAUUAGCUUAAUUUUAAAAUUUAAAUUAACUUAGAAAUUUAAUUUAGGUUUUUAAUUAAUUAAAGAAAGAAAAGAAAACAAAAAGGAAGGGAAAUUGCAAAGCUUGGUCUUAAAUUCGAAAUUGGCUAUGUAAUGAGUAAGGCUAAAUCUUUCAGUACCCUUUCUUCACUUAAACUAGCCCAUCUUCUUACCCAGCCCAAAAAAAAAAUCGAAUUUGACCCAAAUAACCUUCUGACCUGCCCUAUUUCCCUACCUACAAUUCUAACCUAGACCAUAAGAAUAAGAUCAGUUGUUUCUCUUGGAUUUUUUGGACGGAACCUAGAUACGAAAAGACCCUAAGGUAUCAUCUUCUUGUUGGCCAUUUUAGAAGGCUGAAGCAGCGGCAAAUAAACCAAAUGGGAGGCCAAUCCCCAUCAUUACCCACCUCUAACCAAAGACCCUGAACUUCUAACACUUGAACACCUAUCAGUAGCCGUUUUUAGGAUCUUCAACGACAACAGCCGUAGCUGUUCACCCCAGCUCCCCGCCAUCGCUGACCAGCCCGAACCAACGGCAUCACGCCAUCCAUCAGACGACACCAUCCCUUUUCCAAAUAACCAGCGACCACCGGCUACUAUUUUUAGUCCAAACGAGAGCAGCAACAGCGAAAAGUUUCUUUUAUUUUCUUCUCGUUGUUUGGUUGUCGUCGAAAAAGCAGUGGCGUUUCAGUUAAGUUUGAGUUCCGUUAAAGCCCAUUCAUAGGUCAUUAGCUCCGUCUAUUGGGUCAGUUCAGUUCCGUUCGAGGUCACCAGUCGUGGUUCCUACGUUGUUGAUUUCAUUUUCCAGUUAGAUCUCUGUCGCAAACAUGGCUGCAUCGGCGAGAAAGGUAAUAACAAACUUUGUAUAAUUUUAGUCUACUACUUGUACUUAUCCAUGGCAUGCGUAUAUCAAUUGAUUGUUCCUAAAUAUUUAUAUUUGAACGUGUGUUCAUUUCUGUGUAUGCUUAGCUCGGACUGUUUUUGCUUCACUAGUUUAAUUAGUGAACAUUUUGAAGUGAUGCUGCUCUUUGUUAAACCUGCAGGUUGCCUUCAUGUUUCAUUAAUCUUUAAAGUUACUGAUAACUUUUGGUGGGUUUGAAUUCGUGUAUGGUUGACUUUUCGAUUCCAUCCGUGAUUUGUUACUUAUCGAGUUCAAAGUAGUGAAACAAUUAAUUGUCUGGCUAUGUUGAGGUCCAAUGCUUUCGUCCUCUAUUAUUUUAUUCAAGUUCAAUGUUAAUUGUUUGUUUGGUAUGGUGCCGUUGUUUGCGUAAUUGCUUUCCUUAAUUUUGAAUUUGCGCGCGUAGCUAUCUAUUUGUAUAUUUACCAGAAUUGGUUAUAGCUGAACAUGAUUUUGUCACAGUAUAGAAAUUGGUUUGCUAUUCUUCAACUGAACUACGUCAAAUUACAUAAAAGGGGCCCGGAUGUGCAUUUCAUGUGACCCUAGUCCAAUUUCAAACAAGCUUAAAUAAAGUGUGCCGUGAACCAUAGGAGCAUUUCAUGUGAUGUGGCUUGCGAUAUGUUUUAAAUAACCUUGAAUUAAUUCCUUAAAUAAAUAAAAACGGUUUUCAAAAGAUAAAAUGCACACAGGUUCAAUUUUUUUUUAAAAUCAGAUAAUUUGGCCAGUUAUAACAGUUGAGCGACUGUGCUAGAACCACGGAACCCGGGAAUGCUUAAGACCUUCUCCCGGGUUAACAAAAUUCCUUACCUGGAUUUCUGGUUCACGGACUGUAACACAGAGUCAAUCUUUUCCUCGAUUCGGGAUUUAAACCGGUGAAAUAUGACACCAUAAAUCUCCCAAGUGGCGACUCUGAGUCUUUAAUUGAAAAAUCCCAUUUCAAGUAUCCUUUAAUUGAAAAAACUCCCUUUUAUGCCCUUCCGGGAGUGUAGUAAAAAAAUGAGGUGUGACAACUCCGCGACUCUGCUAGGGACAAGAACCUAAAACGUCUAGUUCAGGGUUCAUAAUUCGAGGUUAGAAUAAUUGUUAUAUUUGGUUUUAUUUAUUAUCUGGUUUUAUUUACAUGCUUGGGCCUAAUGUGCUAAAUGCUGCUUUUUAUCGCUUUGAUAUUGCUGAACUAUAUAUAAAUUGAUACGAAACCCUCCUCUCGCUGAGUCUUCUAAAUCAUCUAGGAAGUGUGCAGUUCGUGUGACUUCUCUUCUGUUAGAGUUAUUUUUCCAAUUUUAGAACGAGUUUUGGACAAGUUGCAAAGUCGGUGAAGCUUCUCUAUUCCCGAUACGCUGACCCCCUCGGCUCGAGUUGUCCGCUCGGGUAAGCCAGGUCUAGAACAAUAAACCUCAGGAUUUAAACCUAGAAGAACACAGCCUCAUGUCGGAUCCUUAGUAGGAACAUUUGUUUGCAUCAUGUGCAUUUGACUUUGGGGACUCAACACAGGGGUUGGGUCCUUCUAGGAUAGGUGUACCCAAAAAUAAAAGAUCAUCUUGAUGCAUCCUAUGUGCUACAUGUUGCAUUUAUUAAAGGGUAAAAAGUCCACUUGGCGGACAAAUGAUAGUUGAGGGCAAAAAAAAAAAAGAAAAAAAAAAGAGAGAGGGAAGUGUGAAGAUAAAGCGAGUUGUUUUCUUUCACAUUUUUGUUAAGGAAAAAAAAGAGUUUGAGAAUUCAAAAAAAAAAAAGAUGUUGCACUUUUUCAUCAUUUUUUGAAAAUCAAAAAACUGAAAAAAAAAUUCAAAAAGAGUUUAAACGUUUCAUUAUUUUCAAGGAAAAGACAAAAAUAUAUUUUCUCUAAAUUAGUUUUUUUUUAUUUUUCUGCCCGUAUCCAAUUUGCCCGAACUACGCAUACCUGAUUCUCGUCUUUCGGGGCGUGAUACGUAGGCAACCCACACAGGGUCCGAUCUUCCUAGUGAAUAUAAGGUUCUUGGCUUUGCGGGUUCUCAGCCAAAUCUUGUAUUUUUAAUCACUUUUAGCCAUAUAGGUUAAUUUUAGAAAAAUAGCCACAAUCAUGUCUUGCACGUGUCCAACUAGAAGGGUUAUUGUCUCACAUAGCAUUAUAGGUCUUUAACUUUAUUUGGUCUUAAUUUUCUCAUACAUGUGUGGUCUACUUAUCGAAGUUUGAGCAUGAUAGACACCCCGGGACCAUCCAUUUAUGGGUUGCUUAACGAGAUUUUUUUAAAAUCUUUUGAGUCUAUUUUUCUUUUUAUGUUGUCUUUUACCUUCUAGCUUUGUACAAUAAUAUCGAGUCUUUUGUUAUUAUAUUUACUAUUUUUGUAUUGAAAAAAGAAAAGAAAAGAGUGUUAUAAAUAAAUUUUUUAAAAAAAUAGAGAUUUUGCAUUUUUUAUUUCCUUUGAAAGUUUUCUUUAAAAUGCCAUUUCUAGGAAUAAAAAAAAUCAUUUGGGAUGAUUUUCCUUUAUUGAAUUAAUAUCUAGAACUCAAAAAGUAAAAUGCUUUUAUACUUCAUUUUAGUAUAUUAAGACUUAAAAAUUCAAAAAAAAAAAAGAAGAAGAGAAUUUCCUUGUAGUGUCUAUUUAAAAGUUUUCUUUAAGAAAUUAAUUCCAAAAAUUCAAAAAAAAAUUCUUUUGAGGUAUUCUUUGGGAAAUUAAUGAAAAACGAAUGAAAAAAGUUCGUUUUACUUUACAAGAACUUUAGGACAUUGUACAUAGAGGAAAAGAUAUACUUUAUCUUUGGAUUAUUUUCAGGGUUUCUCCCUUAGGUAAUCAAACUGAAAUCCAAAUUUUUUUUGUUAAUCUUUUUCAUUUCUUAGUUCAGAAUCUUUCUUUCAGGAUAUCAAAUGAAAAUUUGAAAUAUUCUUAGAUUUCCUUCCUAAAAAGAAAGAAUCAAAAAAUAUUUUUCUCUUGUAGAGUCUUUUGCUUAAUAAAUUUCCAUAGGUCUUUGUUUCAAAAAGAGAAAAAAAAAAGAAAAAAAAAAUCGUUAUGCUUGAGUUUAGAAUAUGAUAUAGAACAUUACGUCUAGAAAAUAAAAAAAUAAAAAAAUGGGAUUUUGCUUCUUUUUUUUUUCUUUGCUCAUGAGAGCAGUCCUUAAGAUAACAAAAAAAAAAAUAUAAGAAUGUUAGUUUGUUUUCUUUAUUCCCGAUCUUCCCGAACUACGCAAAUAUCUGAUUCAUGUGCCGUCAUGAUACGUAGGCAACCUACAUAGGGUUCGUUCGAAUUAUUUUUUAUUAUUGUUAAAAGAAAGAAAAAGAGAAAAAAGAAGGAAAAAGAAAAAAAAUAUAAAAAAGGGGAAAUACUAUGGGAUGUGAGAAAUGAAAAGGAAAGAAAAGAGCCAUAAGUACAGAAAAAAGAGAGGGGGGGGGGGGGGAAAGGAAAAAAAAANNNNNNNNNNNNNNNNNNNNNNNNNNNNNNNNNNNNNNNNNNNNNNNNNNNNNNNNNNNNNNNNNNNNNNNNNNNNNNNNNNNNNNNNNNNNNNNNNNNNNNNNNNNNNNNNNNNNNNNNNNNNNNNNNNNNNNNNNNNNNNNNNNNNNNNNNNNNNNNNNNNNNNNNNNNNNNNNNNNNNNNNNNNNNNNNNNNNNNNNNNNNNNNNNNNNNNNNNNNNNNNNNNNNNNNNNNNNNNNNNNNNNNNNNNNNNNNNNNNNNNNNNNNNNNNNNNNNNNNNNNNNNNNNNNNNNNNNNNNNNNNGGGGGGGGGGGGGGGGAAAUGAGAAAACAAAUGCUAGAAGAGAAAAGAAAGAGACGAUUGAAAUGAAUAAAUUAGGAUGGUGCCAAGUGACCUUGUGACCCUCGAAGUCAUUCUAGAACCGUUAAUUUUUACUAGGUGCAUUGCAUUAAAUGUGAUAUUUUUAGCUGUUAAAUGCACUAACGCUAACAUGAUGAAUUUAUUUUGUUCCUCUUUGUUCUCCUCAUUAUAGCAGAAGGGUGGUUGAUUUGUAGUUCUUAAGGUAACUCGUCCAUACAACACAAGGUCAAAGGUCAAGAUAGCCAUGGCUAGCAAAAACUUGGGCACAAGAAUUGUUGACCCGUCAAGGGAGUUUGUAGAGUCGAGUCUGAAUUGAAAGAAGAGGUCCAAAGGGUGAAACGAUAUACGGCAGAAAUGCAUCAGUUUUGGAUCAGGAGGCAUCCUUCACCUUCAUUUCCUGCUAACUACUUCGAAACCCUGCAACUAUCUCAUCAUUGUCCCAAAUCCAGAUUUCCAUUGCUGCUGAUAUCACCCCACAACGUUUUCACACUCUACCCGCCAAAAGCACCUUGUAUCCCGCUUCUUAGGCCAUCCAUGCUCUUGUAGCUCCUUCUCCAGCUACUUUUCCUCGAUCCUCUAACAAGGUUGUAUUCAAAGUCCCCGAUGCCCAACAUUAUGCUCCAGAACAAACUUUCAAAGUCUCGAAUCCAUACUCUCACGCUCCUCAUUUUGAGUCUCAUGGUGAAUCUGAAAAGCUUGCUAAGACAAUGGGGCAAGAUGAGAUAUCCAGGAAGGUGAAAAUCUUAGAGCACUAUUUAAGAAACAUGCAAGGGAUAGGGAGCCAGAUGAGCAUGUCUUAUAAUGACUUGUGUUUGUUUCCUGACGUCCAACUGUCAGCUGGGUUUAAGAUGCCAAAGUUUGAUUUGUAUGACAGGCACGGAGAUCCUGUGGCCCAUUUGAGAGGUUACUGCAGUAAGAUAAGAGGCGUCAGUGGGAAAGACAAAUUAUUGAUGGCUUAUUUCAGUCAGAGUCGGGGGUGGGCAGCUCUAGAGUGGUUCACCCGCCAAGACAUAAGCAAGUGGUACACAUGGGACGAUAUGGCUCAGGCUUUUGCCCGGCACUUUUAGUACAACAUAGAAAUUGUUCCAGAUCGCAUGUCCCACACCAAGAUGGAAAAGAAGCCAAAUGAACGCUUUAGGGAAUACGAGUUCAGAUAGAGAGAGCAAGCUGCUAGAGUCAAUCCUCUGAUGGGAGAAAAAGAGAUGGUCGGGUACUUUCUUCAAGCUCAAGAGCGAACUUACUUUGGGAAUUUGAUCAUGGUUGUUGGUAGGCCUUUUAAUGAUGUGGUAAAAAUGGGAGAAAUGGUAGAAGCUGGGCUGAAGUCGAGCAAGAUCGUGAGCUAUUCUACUUUAAAAGCCACAACACAAGCAAAUCAGAAUGAUACAUAAAGCUUGUUGGGUUAGAAGGAACACAAUGAUGUUUCCAUAGCUAUUUUAGAGUGACGACAUGGACCAAAGGGUCAGCCUCACCAAUAUACCCAGUCUCAACUCCAACUCCAAACCUAGCCCUGAGCUCCACAUAAUCCACCUCAGUAUUAUCCUGCGAACCAUGUCAGGUCAUUUGUCCAACCACCAGGUCACUCCGUAUGGUGAGCGCCAACACCGCAUAAUGCAUUCUUGCCUUCACAACAUUUUCGAGCAUCAAACAACCCUAGAAAAUAGGGAAAGGGAAGGGAACAAAGGCAAAAAAAUAGUUUCAUGCCAAUUGGGGAGUCCUACACAAGCUUAUUUGAAAAGUAAAAGAAUUCUUGCCCGAUUGAGCCGCUCCUCAGCUAUACUCCAGACCCAUAUGCAAAAGUUUGAUCCUACUGUAUGAUACAUGUGCCACUCUAUUGUCCAAGGGCAUAGCAUUGAAGAUUGUCGUUGUUUGAAAAGGGAAAUAGAAAGAAUGAUUCAAGAAGGGGUAAUUGUAAUCAAUGACAGUGACAGGGAGCAUGCGAAUCCUCUUGGGAACUUGCUGACUGAAGUUAAUGAUAAUGAAGUUGUUAACGGAUUUAGAAAUAUUGAUGUAGAACUCAGUGGCUAAGAUGUCGUGCUUGGUAAUUGGAAGGACGCUCCAUUUCUAGGUUAGACGAAGAGGAGUUUUGGCGGUUUAUUUUGUUGUCAUUUAUGUUGUACGGGUUAUUUUCAGGGUUUUAAUUUGAAUAUUGUCUUGUGACUCAAAUCCUUUUAUCCUUUUAUUUUGCCUAGUUUUUUUAGUCGUAGUAGCUUGUUUAGUGUUGUCUAGGUUUGUUCCAGGAUUGUAACCCCAGUUUAGUUUGCUUAUUUUAUUAUUCAAACCCUUUCACCAUCUGUGUAAUGCAAAUUUUUAUUUUCUGUUAUUUCUAUUCAUUUUUGUUUAGUUCUCUUUUCCUUUUAAAGUUCUUUUCCUGCUGACUCUAGUGACAUGACAUGCACGCAUAAUUCUCAGUCUGGUCUUAAAAAGUUAAUUUAGUCAUGAAGCAAUGAAACAAUUUGAAGAUGAUAGGGACAUUUGAGGGAAAUAAGUAAAAGCAUUUUGAGAUCGCUCCAAACUGAAUUGUGUGAAACUAGGGCAGAUAGAACAUAAAGAAAUACUAUCGAAACGCAUCCUGCCGCAUCAGGUUGAAGCUAAAGGCAAGUUUUCCCUUAAUUGGUAUGGGCUUUUCGUGGUAAUAAGAGUAUUGUCCAAUGGUGCUUUGUAUUUAACAGAGGUAAGGCAAAUAUGUGGAUAUGACUAUCAGUUAUGAUACAGUCAAGAGAUAUUACGUGUGAUUUCUUUGGUUUGUUUAAUUGUGUUGUUUGUACUUGGCAUGUUUUGAAGGUUGAAAUGAUUAAAGCAUUUUGUUUUGCUAUCUAUAUAUUUUAUCAUUUGUUACCCCUUUGAGCCUUAUUAAUUUUCUUUUGUAUCCCUCUUUUGGAACCUAGCAAUGAUAAAAAACGCAAGCGCGAAAGAUAGUGAAGGAAAAAAAGAGGAAAAAGUAAGUAAACAAAAAGAGAACAACAAAACAAUAUAAAGAGAAAAAGGAAAAAAAAUAAAGAAGAGAAGACAAAAAAAGAAAAAAAAGAAGAAGAAAAAAACAACAAAAUAACAAAAAAAACAAAGGAAGAAGAAAAGAAAGAGGAAAUCACAACAAAACCAAACAAUUCUUAUGUCUUGAACUACGUUCGACCUGAUUCCUUUUAGGGAUACGUAGGCAGUCUCACGGUUCAGUCCCAUCAAAAUAAAAAUUCAAAAGUCCCCAGGCAACUAAACUGGUGCAGAAGUUGUGGUUAUGUAAAAGAUCAGAUUCUAAAGGUUGUAAUUUUGAACCCAUUCAAGUUGUUUUGAGCCUUCAUGAUACCUUUUCUUUCUAACCCUAUCCAAAAGCACACACUACGGUCCAAAGAAAGACCUUCCGACUAGUCUUCGAGAGAUGCCAAGUCGAGCAAGUAGAGGUGAUUCAUAUAAAUGGCUACACUUCGUUCUGAAUAAGGAAAAUAAAAAUGAGAGAUUCUUAUUAGUGAAAACCUUCACAGGCACUAUAAGGUGACGGUAAGUUGAGAGAAAGAACAAAAUGAGAGAGACUUGAUGGUGAAAACCCUCCGGGCACUACAAGUCAAAUAAAUUGUAAAUUAGAUUGGAAAUCAGAGCAUUGAAGCGCAGUUUCAUAGUUUAGGAGUAUAACAAGAGUUGAACAUAAGACUUGCUUGAUAGAAUAAGUCACAUGUGCAUGUCAUGGUCAUUAGAGUUGGUAUCCACAUCUGAGUAGGUUUCUACUUUGUAGCUUUCUUGUUAGGAGUCAUCCCUUUCCAUUGUCAUUUACUCUGUUCCAUUUGUCUUGUAUACUAUCUCUUCGUGAGUCUGUUUGGUCAGAACGACUGAGAAAUGACUUCAAAAUCUGCCACUACCUUUCCAAUUACAUAAAGCGGGAGCUGGCUGGCACAUCAAAGUGGCAUAUGUCAGGAAAGAACAAUGUGGGCACUGAGUUGGUAACAAUCAACAUGCUUUGGGAUUCAUGUGAAAUACAAAGGUUUGGUAUAUAUCAAUCCAUGAACAAUGCAACAGACAUAGGAUGUUGGGUGAAUGGAUCAAAGGUAUUCUCUGUGAUGAGGUUGACAGAAAAAUGGUUAACCAAUGAAAAGCAAGGUCUUCCAAGCGGAAAUCAAAGUUAUCAUGGCAAGUGAAGGAACAGUAGAUCUCAAGGCCAAGGCCAGUGGCUUAAGUCAAGAAAGAACAACAUACGCAUUGAGUGGGUGGAUAUUGACGUGCUUUGGGAUUCAUGUGACACAAAAAGGUUUGGUAAAUGUCAGUUCAUGAAGGGUGUUGGGUCUGAGCGGAGGAGAGGUAUUUUCUUUGAUAAGGGUGACAGAGAAACUGGUUAGUCAAUAAGCAAUCAGUGUCUUUCAAGGUGAAAUAAAAUUUACCAUGGCAAGUGAAGGAGCAACCACCGCAAAUCAAGCCCACAAACCAACCACCAUGUUUAAACUCACAAGUUUUCUUUGUCUGAAACAGAGACGGAAGCUGUGUUCGUAUCAAAGCUUGGAAGCUUGAAAUUUUUGGUGUAAUGCCCCAAUUCGGCUUACGCAAAGGCUAUUGAGAAGAUCACACAUCAGCCCCAGGAGAUGCACUUCCUAGAAUGGGUAGUUCAGGUUGUAUUUUUGUUUUAGGAGAAACACUUCCUAAAUCGAGAGUUCAUCCCAAGGAGAUGCACGUCCUAGUUAGAGUCAUUAAAAUUUUAUCCCUUAGGAGAUGCACUUCCUAGUAGGGAUCUUUCAUAUUAUACUUUUUAGGAGACAAUAUUCCUAGCUUCGGUCAUUUUACCAUUCAUAGGAGACACUUACUAGUUUGAGUCAUUAAAGUUUCACCUAUAGGAGAUGCACUUCCUAAAUUGAGAGUUCAUUUAUAAAAAAUGCACUUCCUAGUUUUGUUCAUUCAAGUUUCACCUAUAGGAGACGCACUUCCUAAAUCGAGAGUUCACUCAUAGGAUACACACUUCCUAGUUUGAGUCAUUUUAAUUCGGCCCUAGGAGAUGCACUUCCUAGUCUGGUUCAUCGAAGUUUUAACUAUAGGAGACGCACUGCCUAAUCAAUGUCUUUCAAGUUAUUCUUUUAGGACACACACUUCAUAAAUUAUGAGUUCAUUCAUAGGAGAUGCACUUCCUAGUUUGAGUCAUUGAAGUUCACCCCUAUGAAACGCACUUCUUAGUCUGGGUCUUUCAUGAUACACCUAAAAGGAGACACACUUCCUAAAUUGAGAUUUCACCCCAAGGAGACGCACUUUCUAGUCGUGGUCAUUUAAAUUCACCCCUAGGAGACACACUUCCUAAUUUGGUUCAUUCAGGUUUUAUUAUGGAAGGAGAAUUUGCUAGUCAAAGUUUCUUGGUUUUGCUCAUAGGAGAUGUACAUCCUAAUCUGGUCUUUAGUUUACUCUCAUCAUUGCAUCAAUAGUAUAAGUGGUAUACAAUUUCACUAACAGCUCACAAAAUCUUCCUAGUACAAACUGGGGUAGAAAAUUUUGUUUGUUUUAAUUUCAGGAUACUCCUAGAAAAUGAGACCUAGUUUAAAAAUCAAAACAAUCAUAAGUAGAAAAACCUAGCAUAAAUGUAUCCGAAGGAAUAUAAGUUUGGUCCAAAGUUUGCAUGUGUACGAUAGGAUUCAAUUAGGAGUUUUCAGGACCCUCCUCGAUAAUGGGACUUAAUUUUAAAUUUUCAGGACCCUCCUGAAUAAUGGGACCUAGCUUUGAGAAUUCCUUUAAAUAAAAAGAUUUAGCGUAAUUUCUGCUGUAAGGAAGGAUAAUUUAGCCUUAAAGUUGUCACUCUUAAGAUAAGACUUGAUUUUCAUUUUCAGGACCCUCCUGGAUAAUAGGAUUUAAUUUAAAAUCUCAGGACCCUCCUGGGUAAAUGGGAUUUAAUUUAACAUUUUCAGGACCAUCCUGGAUAAUGGGAUUUGAUUUAAAAUUUUCAAGACCCUCCUAGAUAAUGGGAUUUAGUUUUUAAAAUUUUCAGGACCCUCCUGAAUAAUGGGACUUGAUUUUAAAUUUUCAAGAAUCUCCUGAAUAAUGAUACCUAACUUUAAGAAUUCUUUUAAAUAACAAAAUGUAGCGUAAUUUCUACUGUAAGGAAGCAUAAUUAAGCAGUAAUGAGUUCAACCUUAAGAUAAGACUUAAUUUUGAUUUUCUGGACCCUCCUGGAUAAUGGGAUUUAAUUUAAAAAAAUUCAUGACCGUCAUAGAUAAUGAGAUUUAAUUUAAAAUCUCAGGACCCUCCUGGAUGAUGGGAUUUAAUAUAAAAUUUUCAGGACCCUCCUGGAUAAUGAGAUUUGAUUUAAUAUUUUCAGGACCUUCGUGGAUAAUGGGAUUUAGUAUUAAAAUUCUCAGGACCCUCCUGGAUAAUGGAAUUUAAUUUAAUAUUUUCAGGACCCUCCUGGAUAAUGGGAUUUGAUUUAUAAUUUUCAGGACCAUCCUGGAUAAUAUGAUUUGGUUCAUAAAAUUUUCAGGACACUCCUGGAUAAUGAGAUUUAAUUUUUAAAUUUUCAGGACCCUCCUGGAUAAUGAGAUUUGAUUUAAAAUUUUCAGGACCCUCUUGGAUAAUGGGAGUUGAUUUAAAAUUUUCAGAACCCUCCUAUAUAAUGGGAUUUAGUUUUUAAAAUUUUCAGGACCCUCAUGGAUAAUGAGAUUUAGUUUUAAUAUGUUUCAGGACCCUCCUAGAUAAUGGGAUUUAAUUUAAAUUUUUUAGGACCCUCCUAGAUAAUGGAAUUUAAUUUAAAAUUUUGUGGAUCCUCCUGGAUAAUAGGAUUUGAUUAAAAACUUUUAAGACCCUCCUGGAUAAUGGAAUUUAAUUUAAAAUUUUCAGGACCCUCAUGUAUAAUGGGAUUUAGUUUUUAGAAAUAUUUCAAGAUCCUCCUGGAUAAUGACACUAAAUUUAAAAUUUUCAGGACCCUCCUGGAUAAUGGAAUUUAAUUUAUAAUUUCAGGAGCCUUCUUGAUAAUAGGAUUUAGUUUUUAAAUUCUCUGGACCCUCCUGGAUAAUGGGAUUUAGUUUUAAAAUAUUUCAGGACCCUCCUGGAUAACAAGGGAAUACAUUUCAAGUUUUGAUAAUCAGGCACCCACCUGGAUAACAAGGGAAUACAAUUCAAGUUUUGGAAAUCAGGCGCCUACCUGGAAAACAAGGAAACACAAUUCGAGUUUUGGUAGUCAGGCGCCCUCUUGGAGAACGAGAGAAUACAAUUCAAGUUUUGGUAAUCAAGCACCCACUUGGAGAACAAGCAAAUAUAAUUUAAGUUUCGGAAAUCAGGAACCCUCCUGGAGAACAAAGGAAUAUAAUUCAAGUUUUGGUAAUUAGGCGCCCACCUGGAGAACGAGGGAAUACAAUUCAAGUUUUGGUAAUCAGGCGCUCACUUAGAGAACAAGGGAAUAGAAUUCGAGUUUUGGAAGUCAGACGCCCUCCUGGAGAACAAGGGAACACAAUUCGAGUUUUGGCAGUAAGGCGCCCUCCAGGAGAACGAGGGAAUAUAAUUCGAGUUUUGGUAAUCAGGCACUCACCUGGAGAACGAGUGAAUAUAAUUCAAGUUUGGUAAUUAGGCACCCACAUGGAGAACAAGGGAAUAUAAUUCAAGUUUUGUAAUUAGGCACCCACCUGGAGAACAAGAGAACACAAUUUGAGUUUUAGCACUCAGGCACCCAACUGGAGAACGAGGGAAUAUAAUUUCGAGUUUUGAUAAUCAGGCACCCACCUGGAGAACGAGAGAAUAUAAUUCAAGUUUGGUAAUCAGGCGCCCACCUGGAGAACAAGGGAACACAAUUCAUGUUUUUGGUAAUCAGGCGUCCAUCUGGAGAACAAGGGAAUAUAGUUCGAGUUUUUGGCAACCAGGUACCCGCCUGGAGAACAAGGGAAUAUAGCUUAAGUUUUGGUAAUUAGGCGCCCACUUGGAGAACAAGGGAAUACAGUUCAAGUUUUUGGCAAUUAGACGCCCACCCGGAGAACAAGGGAAUAUAGUUCAAGUUUUGGCAAUCAGGUGUCCACUUGGAUAACAAAGGAAUACACUUCAAAUUUUGGCAAUCAGGCGCCCACAUGGAGAAUAAGAGAAUAUAGUUCAAAUGUGGUCAAUCAGGCACCACCUGGGGAAUAAGGGAAUUCACUUCAGAAUACAAUUCAGGUCAACAACAAAAGAAGCUCGCGUCAAGAAAGCCAGUCAACAGUCCGAGGUGAUCAAUAGAAGUUAGUCACAAUAAAGAAAAAGAGAAAGGCAAGAAGUUAAUCCAAAUACAAAAGUUGAUGAAAGACGUGAACUGUUCAAGACAUGGCAAAGGUCACAAGCACUGCAUGCAUGGUCUUGAUCCAAAAAUCUGAAGAAGGAUGAACUAGCACCUGCAACUAGCAAGCGUCAAGGUUCAAAUCUAAAAUCCACAUGAAGAAUCAUUCAAGACUUAAGAUCAAGUUUCAGAAGACUUAUAGAUAGGAAUCUUGUAAUUCAUAGUUGACGGUCUUAGCUAGUCUUUUUUAUGUCUUUUAAUUUUGAUGUAAUAACACGACCGCGGAUCGGAACCUCGAUGAAACGGCAACUCGAUCGGCUCUCCACCUCGGUAUGCUACAUCAUCUCACACACUUAUGAACUAUACUGACCUGAUUCCUUUAUAACCAAGGAUAAGUAGGCAACCUCGGAAGCAGGUUCGGUCAAAUCUCUUAAAAAUGCUUCCCACAAAGUAUUCAAACGGGCAAAAUCUCUCGUAUCCGCUCACUUUAUCUUUGCACGAAAAUUCUUCGUGUUUUUGAGAAAAGAGGGGUAGCUGUGAGCACAUGAUUUUUUCCCUAUGUGAAAUACUCCUACAAAUUAAAUUUCCCCCAAUUGUUUGCAAUUUAUAGGAUUUUUUAGGAUUUUUGCCAAUUGUUUGCAUUUCUUUGCAUGUUUACUUUUAUUAAAAUCAUGAAAAAAUACCAAAAUAUCAUGCAUUACAUUUAGAUAUUGUGUUUACAUUUUAGGAUUAAUUAAUUUAUUAACUAAUUACUUUAUUAAAUUAAAAAUUACAAAAAUGGCUUAUUUUUACAUUCUUAGCUUUUAAUUUUGGAUUAUUAAGUUUUCUCUUUAAAUUUAGGAUACACUAAUGUUUGUAAACAUUAUAUUUAUAUAAUUAGUUUAAUUUUACAAUUUGAAUAUAUUUAGAAAUUUAAUUUAGGGUUUUAAUUAAUUAAAGAAAGAAAAAAAACAAAAUGGAAAGGAAAUUGCAAAGCUUGAUCUUAAAUUCGAAAUUGGGCUAUGUAACGAGUAAGCCCAAAUCUUUCAAUAGCCCUUCUUCACUUAAACUAGCUCAUCUCCUUACCCAAUACAAGAAAAAAAAACCAUACUUGACCCAAAUAACCCUCUGACCCGCCCCAUUUUUCCCACCUACAAUUCUAACCUAGACCCUUAAGAUCAGUUGUUUCUCUUGGAUUUUUUGGACGGAACCAAGAUACAAAAAAACCCUAAGGUAUCAUCUUCUUCUUGGCCAUUUUUGAAGGUUGAAGCAAUGGGAAAUAAACCAAAUGGGAGGCCAAUCCCCAUCGUCACCCGCCUCUAACCAAAGACUGAACUUCUAAUGCUUGAACACCUAUCGGUAGCCAUUUUUAGGAUCUUCAACGAAAACAGCCGUGGCUGUUCACCCCAGCUCCCCGCCAUCACCGACCAGCCCGAACCAACAACAUCACGCCAUCCACGAGACGACAUCAUCCCUUCUCCAAAUAACCAGCGACCACCGGAUACUAUUUUCAGUCCAAACGAGAGCAGCAACAGUGAAAAGUUUCUUUUAUUUUCUUCUCGUUCUUUGGUUGUCAUCGAAAAGCAGUGGCAUUUCAGUUAAGUUCGAGUUCCGUAAAAGCCUGUUCACAGGUCUUUAGCUCCGUCCAUUGGGUUAGUUCAGUUCCGUUCGAGAUCACCGGUCGUGGUUCCUACGUUGUUGAUUUCAUUCCGGUUAGAUCUCUGUCGCAAAACUGGCUGCAUCGGCGAGAAAGGUAAUAUUAAACUUUGUACAAUUUUAGUCUACUACUUGUACUUAUCCAUGACAUGUGUAUAUCAAUUGAUUGUUGCAUAAUAUUUAUAUAUGACCAUGUGUUCAUGUUUGUGUAUGCUUGGCUCGGACUGUUUUUGCUUCACUAGUUUAAUUAGUGAAAAUUUUGAAGUGAUGCUGCUCUUUGUCAUACCUACUGGUUGUCUUCAUAUUUCAUUAAUCUUUAAAAUUAUUGAUAAAUUUUGGUGGGUUUGAAUCCAGUUUGGUUGAGUUUCCGGUUCCGUCCUUAAUUCGUUAUAUCUCGAGUUCAAAGUAGUAAAACAAUCAAUUGUCCAACUGUGUUAAGGUCCAAUCCUUUCAUCCUCUAUUCAUUUUAUUCAAGCUAAAUGUUAAUUGUUUGUUUGGUAUUGCGCCGUUGUUUGCGUAAUUGCUUUCCAUAGUUUUGACUUUGUUCUCUUAGCUAUCUGAUCGUAUAUAUUUACCCGAAUUGAUUAUAGCUGAACAUGAUUAUGUCAUACUAUAGAAAUUGGUUUGUUAUUCUUCAACUAAAUUAUGUCAAGUUAGAUAAAAGGGGCCCGGAUGUGCAUUUCAUGUGACCUGACUCCAAUUUCGAACAAGGUUAAAUAAUGCGUGUUGUGAACCACGGUGGCUUGCGAUAUGUUUUAAAUAACUUUGAAUUAAUUCCUCAAAUAAAUAAAAGCGGUUUUCAAAAGCUAAAAAAUGCACAUAGGGUCAAAAAUAAUUUUUUAAAAUUAGAUACUUAGGCCAAUUAUAAUAGUUGAGAGACCGUGCUAGAACCACGAAACCCGGGAAUGCCUAACACCUUCUCCCGGGUUAACAAAAUUCCUUACCCGAAUUUCUGCUCGCGGACUGUAACACAGAGUCAAUCUUUUCCUUGAUUCAGAAUUCGAAUCGGUGACUUGGGACACCAUAAAUCUCCCAAGUGAUGACUCUGAAUCUUUAAUAUAAAUAAUCCUAUUUCGAUUGUCCUUCAAUUGGAAAAACUUCCUUUUAUGCUCUUCCGGGGGUGUAGUGAAAAAGGAGGUGUGACAAAAGUAAGAAUACACGGAAGGCACAAGGCAUUCUAUAAUGAAGCAAUAAAAUCCAUUAAAAGCAGUAAACCAGUGAAAUCCAAUAAAAUCCUUUCUAAAAAUAAACAAGUAAUUAACAGACAAUUAAUGUAAGUUAAACUAACAGAAGUUCGCCCCCUUGGGAACAAUAUCAAUAAAUUCGCCCCUCGGGCAAAACUCAUAUCAUUUCCAGCUCCCCAGGCUCAAUCUCACAUCACAAUGGGUACCCACGCUCACUGGAGGUGUGCAGACUCUUGGAGGGUCCCCAUACAGCCCAAGUGCAAUAACAAGUCAUCUCGUGGCAUCAAAACUAGGCCAUCGGCAUUAUAUCAAUCAAGCCACCUCGUGGCGUACAUAUCUCAGGCCCUCGGAUUCAAGUCAGUAUCAGUGUUUCCUCACAACAUAGGCCCUCGCUCUCACUCAGUCAAAAAUAUUCACAAGCCCCUUGGGCAAUAGUAAAACAAUAUUUGUCAACCCAAACAUCAUUUAAAAUAUCAUUUAAGUAUUAAAAUUGAGUAAACUUGGCUGAGUAUGAAAACAACGGAAAAUAACAUGACUGAGUUUAAGUAAUAAGUCAAAACAGUGAGUAAAAUAUCAAUGAAAAGCCCCGAAGGAUUCAAAUAGUUGGCACUAGUUCCAAAUAUGACAUUCAACCCAGAUAAUGAUGAUAACAAAUAGUUUUAAAUCAAAUACGUGGUAAAAUCAUCAAUCAGGACGGACCAAAUCACAAUCCCUAAUAGUGUGCGACCCCACACUCGUCAUCAAGCGUGUGCCUCACCUCAACAUAGCACUACGAUGUGCAAUCCGGGGUUUCAAAUCCUUAGAACAUCAUUUACAAUCAUUACUCACCUCGAACCAGCUAAUUCUCUAGCUCGCGACGCCUUUGCCUCUCGAAACGGCCUCCGCGCACGUCGAAUCUAUCCAAAAUUAGAACGAAGCCCAAGCAAAAAUAAUCAAUAACGGGCAUAAAUCCCGAAAUUACCAAAACCCUGCUCCCGGGCCCACGUCUCAAAAUUAAACAAUUUUUACACCAAUAGAUUCCUUAUCUUCCCAUAAGUUCAUACAUAUCAAAAGUUCUCAAAUCCGACCCCUAAUGGUCCUUCGAAUCCCAAAAUCAAAGUCCAAAGUUCCAAGCCCUAGCUCUUCGGUUUUUAGCUUAAAUUUCAAUGAAUUUCUAAGUAGAAUUCACAUAAUUAUCGAGUUUUAAGUCAGAAAAUCUUACCUCUCAAUGAUUUCCAUUGAAUCCCUCUUCAAUCUCCUUUAAAAAUCUCCCAAAAUGACAAACUAUGGAGGAAAUGAACCCCAAAAUCGCGGACAAGACAAGUUAAAAACAUUUUGCCCAGGCAUGAAUUUUCUUCUUCACGAACGCGGUCAAACCCUCGCAUUUGCGAAGAACAAACUUACUUUGACCAAUUUUUCCUCUGUGCGAAUGCAUCGUGAGCAUAGCGAACGGGAUGGUUCCUCAAAUGGUUCCUCAACCUUACCCUCUGCGAACGCGUCGCAUACAUCGAGAACGCGAUGAGUAACUUGGCCCCAAACCAACUGAUAAAAGACCAUACGCAAACACGGCUUACCUCCUGCGAAUGCGAUGCCUCAAAUCACAAACCUUCACGAACGCGCCCUAGCCUCUCGCGAAUGUGAAGUUUACAAAUCCUGGACCUUCACGAAUGCGUGAGUACCCUUCGCGAAUGCGAAGGACAAACAUGACGCCUACCUUCCUAACCAUUCGCGAACGCGAAGACCAAAAUUUCUGCAACUGCUGGAACUCAAAAUCUACAACUUCCUUAAUUUAAAAAUGAUCUGAUUGACCAUCCGAAACUCACCCGAGGCCCCCAAGGACCUCAACCAAAAGCACCAACACAUUCCAAAACCUUAUUCAAACUUGUUCCAACUAUCAAAAAACCUCAAACAAUAUCAAAUCACCCAAAACACAUCGGAUUCAAGCCUAAGUUUUCUAAAACCUUCCGCAAUAUGCAUUUGAUUAAAAACCCAACCAAAUCACGUCUGAAUGAACUGAAAUUUUGCAUACACAUCCCAAAUGACAUAAAGAAGUUGCUGCAACUCUUAAAAUUCUAUUCUAACCCCAAAAUCAAAAUAUUGUUAUCAACCGGAAAUCGCCAAAAUAUCAACUUCGCCAAUUCAAGCCUAAAUCUACGCCGGACCUCCAAACCUAUUCUGAUCAUACUCAUAAGUCACAAAUCACCUCCGGAAGCUAACCGAACCAUCAGAACUUACAUCCGAGCCCUCUAACAAAUAAGUCAACAUCCGGUUGACUUUUCUAACUUAAACAUUCUUCAAAGAGACUAAGUGUCUCAAACUUCACCAAAAUCAUUCUGGAAUCAAACCAACCAACCCGAUACCACAAAAUACAGAUAACAAAGCACAAAGAAGAAGAUUGGGGGAUACAGAGCGGUAAAUCAUGAGGUGACUGGCCUGGUCGUCACAAUACAUAAAUGGUAAUUGGGUGUAUUAAAUAUAAUUAUAGUAAAACUUGAGUAGGAAGGAUAAUAUAAUUUCAUAAAGUGUAUAUGAAUGUAAAAAUUCCUUCCUUUUUAUUCUUCUUUUUCCAUAUAUCUUUCUGUUGGGAGAAGAGAAGAAAGAGAGAGGAUGUUCUGAAAAUAUCUUUUUCUUUUUUGGUGAAAAGAUGAUUUGUUUUCCUUUUUUUCUUUUACAUAUUAUACCGUUAUAAUUAAACUGGACUGCCUUUAACUUUUUAAAUAUCGCAGACUUAUAAAAGUUGCAUUCACAUAGAUUUAUAGAUAUAUUCUUUUAAAUUUAUUCUCCCUAAACUGCUUUGUCCAUUGUCACAUCUCCUUUUUUACACCCCGAGGGUGUAUAGGAGUUUUUUUAAUUUAAGUGAUAUUAUUCGAAAUGAGAUUAUUUAUUAUUUAUUUAGAGUCGCCAGUUGGGAUAAUUAUUUUGGUAUCCCAAGUCAUCGGUUUAUUUUUAAUCCCAAAUCAACAAAAAAUCGACUUUAUUUUAAAAAGUCUGCGAAUCAGAAAUUCUAGAUAAGAAAUUUUUUAACCCGGGAAAAGGUAUAAGGCAUUUUCAGGUUCCGUGUUUGUAGCACAGUCGCUUGAACUAUUAAUAAUUGGCCUAUUAUCUGAUUUACUACAUGUUUAAAACCUAUUGUGCCUUUUUAGCUUUAUACCCACUUUUAAUUGUUUUUGCUUUUAGGAAAAUUCAAUGCUAUUUAAAACACGUCUUAAACCAAGUUACAUGAAAUGCACAUGUGGUUCGCGAAAUGCUUUAUUUAAUAUUGUUGAAGAUUGAAAUUGUGUCACAUGAAAUGUCAUCCGGAUUUUAGUAAUUAAAAAUCACAACUACGUCACAGGAACCAUAUUCGUAGCUAUGAUGAAUUAUUUAAAUAACGCGCCUAAAGCAACUAUGUAGAUUUAAUUCUUAAUAGCAAUAUUUGUGAGGGCCAAUGAUUUAGGCACGCUUUCAAACCUUUUUCUAUAAGUGUUAGUUCUUAAUUAAAUCUUGCAAGGGCCAUGAAUUAUAAAUUUUGUUUGGCAUAGCCAACCUCACUUAUUUUAACAAAGGGGAGUUGCGUUUUUAUUUAAGUAAGGCUAAUAAUCCUAAUUGUAGUUCAAGAUAAGAAUUUUUUAACUUAAGGCUAGGCUUUUGAAUUAUUGCGGAACAGUUGUUUUGGGCCAGGACGUUCAGAAUUGGAUUGAAUCCAGAAAUACUCAGCUUCGAAAAGCUGGAUUUGGGGUCCAAAUUUGGGCCCACUAGAACGAGUAUUCCAAGGCUCUUGUCCCUAUUGGAAUUUGUUUGCCCACAUUGGGCUUCAGGCGGGUCCAGUUGUCAAGUUCUACCGGCUGGGCCUAUCCACCUUUGCAUUUUAAGCCCAAAUUAAAUAAACUAACACGACUUGUAAGACAUGCAUUUAUGAUGAAUUUGUAAUAGAAGAAUUUUUAAACUCAAGAUCAGAUUACCAGAUGUAAUGCCCAGGCUUAGUCGCCUGGGCCCAGACUUGUUUAGCUCGUACCCAGAUUUUGGCCCUGUUGCAAGUCUGUCCCAAUUACAUAUUGGACUAUAUUGAAAAAAUUCAUAUGCCAUGGACUUGAAACUACGAAUAAAAAAUAGUCAAAACUUAAACUUAAUAUAUUCCAGUAGUCUGUUUACUUAAUAAAAGUCCAUUUACAAUACUGAAAGUUCAUGAAUUAUACAAGGAGAAUUUCUAACUUGACAAUCCAUCAUUCUAACGGUCCAUUAUAGCUUACAUCUAAAAGAAAGAAAAAGAAAACUUUAAAAGGAAAUAAAAGGAAAUUUUCCUCUAGCUUCAAGUUCCUACCAUCAAAUUCUUCAAACCCACGUACAAGCUUUUAAGAAAUCAGCUACAGAGCUGCUUCUCACAAGUUGAUUUUCAAACUCCAACCCUGAAAUUUUUUACUGCCAAACUAGUUUUGUUUCCACUUAGAAUUUCAUGGAUCCGACCAUGUGAAAAGGUCAGACUCACAAAAUAUCUUUAGAUACACUAAUCUACUACAUUAUCUAACCAAAACUCAAAUAACCGAUGCAGAAAAAGCUGAGAUUCGUGGGUUUAAUCAUGUUAAGGGUCAAACCCAUGAAUCAAUAAGGGCUUCAAACCCAAAAUCAUGGUAUACUGCCUUAGCGCAAUACCUUAAUGGAAUAAAAGGGAAGGGAAAAGGUAUUUUAAUCCAUGAAUCUGACCAUGUACGUAUCAAACUCAAUGAACAAACCAAGUUUCAAAUAUGAGGGGUCUAAACAUACUAUCUAACUAAUGCAAGGAAAAGCAUACAUGCAUACCAGCCAAAAUAAUUGAAUGAUCAAUGCUAAAGUCAUAUAAAGAAACAAAUUAUCAUGAUAUAGAACCAAAUGGACAGAGACUCACAUUUUAGGAGAAAAAGCUUCAAUACUGUUGCAACUUCAGAAUACAAACCAUAGCAAGAAUGGCACAACAUAUAAACAUUGGCAAGCAAAGAAUAGGUUGUAUUCAUCUUAAAUUCCAUUACAAACACUUAAACAUGGAAAGAAUCAUGUGUACCUUGAACAUCAAUAGAAAAAUAACAAACAAGAUGAAAGAAGACUGUUGAAAACUCGAGAAGAAGGGUAGAAACAACAGUGAGCCAACACAGCUACAACCACCAGAUGAAUCUAAGAAUCUGAACCAAGUUUUAACCACCUUCCAAACCGAAUCCCAACUAAACAAACCCCAGAAAAUUCUUUAUUUCAAACCACUUCUAGCUUGUGAACAAAUGAGAAAAGUUUUGAAAAUCUUUCUAAGAUUUCUGAAAUCUGAAAAGGGAACUUUUAUGCAGUAAAGAUGAUGCUCUAGUUCUCUGUUUUUUAGAACUUUUAGGCAGAGAAUAAUGCUAAAUGAAUGUCUUUUUUAGAAUAAAAUAGCCUACAUAUAUAUAGGGGUGUGCAAUCGAUUCAUCGAUUCGAUUUUGACCUUAUCGAUAAUUACUUAUCGAUUAUCGAUUUGUACAUAUGCUUAUCGUUAUCGUUUCAAUAAGGUUUCGAUUUUUUCGGUUUCGAUUUAUCGAUUUUGGGGGCUUAUCGAUUCGGUUAUCGAUUACACCGAUAAGAAAAAUUUGCGGGAUUCAACGGAAAGUAUAUCGUUAUAAGCGCGCCUAACUUAUGAUUUAUCGAUUUUCAAUAAGGCAGAUUAAACCGAUUAGAAUGCACACCCCUAUAGAUUAGUUGUUAUUCAUCAGCCACGUUAUCAAUAUUAUCAUUUUCAGCCACAUUAAACGAAUGAAGAAUAUAACUUACAGUCUUAAAGACAAGCCCAACCUUCAGAGUAGCACAGUGCACACCUCUUGGUUCAAUCUUAAACACUUCUUGCUUCUAUUUUUGAACCUGAAUAACACUGAAGAUAACUAGUGUUAGGAAAGAGACGGUUUAUGGAUGGUUGUUCAAUUGCCUGUAAUGAAUGCACAUUCUCAUGGUGCCAUCCUUCUUCUUCAAAAAUAGAACUGAUGCAUACCAAGGUGACAUACUAGGCCAUUAUACCUUUGAUUAAUUUCAUGAAGUAAAUGUUUCAACUUGCGUAUUUUUCUGAGGCAUAUGAACAUAUGAUAAAAUAAAAGGAUACAUGGGAACUCAAAAAUAUAGAAACCUCUAUUAUUUCUAUAAAUAGAGUCAUUUAUGAAAGUUGUAUAUUACUCAUUUCACUUGUAUCAUAUGUAUCAUGCCAAAAAAAAGAGAAAGAAAUAGUUAUAAUAUACCUAAACCGAUUCAGUCAAUCGGUGAUCAAGAGACUUACAUAGAGAAAGAAUUUAUCCAUAGCAGCACAUGAAUUACCGAAUGGAGCAGAUUUCCAUUAAGGUAAAUGGAACGUCAACUUUUUGGCGUGAAAAAUACUACAUGUAAUAGUUUUAGGGAACUCAACUUCUAUAUCCCCCUAUUCUAUAGAGAAUGACACUAUACCAUAACACAAGGCUAUUUGAUGAGUUAAAUAUUUUUCUGCUUAAACCAAGAAUGAUAUAUAUAUACGUGGGCAAAAUCAUCAACGUAUAGCAGCUGAUCAGGUGGUGAUGUGUAUAUAACAACGUAAUCUUUUCCCAUAUCUCAUAUACAUAUAUCCGCGUAUAUAACGCCGUCUAAGUCAUGAAUAAAUGCGCAUGUAAAUGAAAGACAUGCAUGAAAAAUAUGUUAAUAAAACCUCCCUGAACGUCACACGGCCAUUAUACCUUUGAUUAAUUUCAUGAAGUAAAUGUUUUCAAACUUGCGUAUUUUUCUGAGGCACAUGAACAUAUGAUAAAAUAAAAGGAUACAUGGGUAUUAAAAAAUAUAGAAACCUCUAUUAUUUCUAUAAAAAGAGUCAUUUAUGAAAAUUGUGCAUUCCUCAUUUCACUUGUAACAUAUGGAUCAUGCCAAAAGAAAGAAAGAAAUAGUCAUAACAUAUCAAGAGACUUACAUAGAGAAAGAAUUUAUCCAUGCAGCACAUGAAUUACCAAAUGGAGCAGAUUUCCAUUAAGUAAAAGGAACGUCAACUUUUUGGGGUGAAAAAUAAAUACAUGUAAUAGUUUUAGGAACUCAACUUCUAUAUCCCCCUAUUCUAUAGAGAAUGACACUAUACCAUAACACAAGGCUAUUUGAUGAGUUAAAUGUUUUUUCUGCUUAAACCAAGAAUAUAUAUAUAUAUAUAAUAGACACAACAAAAGAACUUUGUGAUUAUAGGAUAAUUUUAUGAAAUUUUGAAAUACAUGAGUUAUCCAAAUUCCCAAUAAAAAUCGGCUGCGAUGACCCUCCGUAUUUAUACCUAUAUCUUUCUGUCAGAGAGUUAGUGUAGCCAGAAAUGUACAAAAAGAAUCCCAGAUGGAAAAGCCCUUCAUAGCUCCAGCAGUUUAAGGGAAGUUCGCUAGAAAUUCAAAAAGGAGAUCACAGUGCAAGCAUUGUGUGCAAUAUAUAAUCACUAGGAUAUUGGCAAAUCUACUCGGAAUACAGAAACCUCCAUAAACCGUCUCUUCACUAGUGUUAGGAAAGACUCAUAUGCGAAGCAGCGAAGGAAUAGGGUAGUAAUAGUAUUAUAAAAGAAGGUUAUAUUUGUCUUUUUAAUAUAUCUUAUCGAUUUAUCGAUAAAUCUAUAAACUGAAUGGCCAAAACCGAAAUCGAAUCGAUAAACCGAAAAAUUUUCGAAAUCGAAAUCGAUUCGAUAAACUGAUAAACCGAUAACAAAUAAUCGAUUCGAUUUAUAGAUAAACCGAUUCGAAUGCACACCCCUACAUAUAUAGGCUGCCUAGGGAAGGUAUAUUUUGGGGAAUAUUCCUUAUCCUAGAAUAAAAAUAGUAUUGUCCUUUUACAGCCCUUGGUACAGUUGUUCUAUAUUUUGGCAUCUUUCUAUAACAGCUAGGAUAGCUGUACAUUUUCCAGGAAGCUUUUGAUUUUUAGCCUAAGUGAAAGUCCAUUUUUACCCUUUAAACUACUGCCUAUUUCAAUUCUAUCCUAAACUUUUCUAUUUCAAUCAAGCCCCUACAAGUCUCUAAUGAUUUACAAAUUAUGGCAAACAGAGACAAAGCAAAAAGAAUCAGAAUCCAAAUCAAAAUCAAAAUGACAAAUAAAAAUGAGAUAAUGCAAUUUAAACCUAGAGUAUCAAGCUUUGAUUAUCUAGACUAAUCCGAAACUUAAACUAAACUUAGCAUGAAAUAGAUUCAUAAUGAAAUUAUUGAGAACCUAUUAAAAUCUCAUAAAAGGGAAAGAUGUUAAGCUUAUAAGUGAACAUGUUUAGAUGAUUCAAUUAGCAUGGACAAACAAAACAAGCAAUCAACACGGAAAGAAAAAAAACAAAUGCUGCAAUUUAUCCUAAAUCAUGCAAGCUAAACAGAAAAGAGAGAUGUUUAUGAAAGAAGAAACGAGAUAAACAAAAGAGAAACGGAAAAGAAAUUACCAAAGCUUGCUUCGAAUUGGACCAGUCAUGAACUCGGAUAAAUUUCGGUAGGGUAAAAUGAAAUUUAGACUAUCAUCAAUCGAUUUCUCUCAUCAAGAGCAAUCGAUUAAUGAAGGUCUUGGGUUAAAAUGACCCGAAAUUAAACAAAAAUUGUAGGCGGAAUAAAUUAUGGUUUUGAUCUUAGAUCCGAGAUUUGAGAAUUCCUAGGCUUGUUUGAAGGGAAUGGUUAUGGGAUAUGGAAAGAGGAAGAGAGGGUGAUUGUCUGGUGUUAAUUUGGUGUAUUUUAGAGCAAUUAGGGUUUUUUACCUUGAAUCGAAUUCCUGGCGGCGAUUUGAAAGAAACGGAUUUGAGAUUUAGCAUUAGGAGGAAUGGGGGUUUCAGGGUGUAAAUAUAGGGGAGAUUGGUGGUGGUCUGAUGCCGUGAGGUGAUUUAAUUUUCGGCCGGCGGACUACAGCGGAGAAGGACGGAGCCGGAAAGGUAUCUUAGGGCGGAUAGGGUUCGUAGAUUGAGAGAGAUGAUAGACUAAAUGAGGGGGUAAUGGGUUCGGGGGUAUGAAUUUGGGGGAGGUUGGUGGUGGUCCGCCGCCUUGAGGCGAUUUCCGGUCGGCGGACCGUGGCAGAGGAAGGCAGAGUUGGCGAGGUAUUUUAGGGCGGCUACGAUUCGAAAGUUGAGAGAGAUGAAAAAUUGAAUAGGGGGUAAGGGGGUUAGGGGUCUUGUUCGGACAGUUAAAUAUU
rnacentral:lncRNA from 1 species